GACGAACGCUGGCGGCGUGCUUAACACAUGCAAGUCGAACGGAAUGGCGAACGGGUGAGUAACACGUGGGUGAUCUGCCUUGCACUUCGGGAUAAGCGGGGGAAACUGGGUCUAAUACCGCAUAUUGCAAGAUGAGCUCGCGGCCUAACAGCUUGUUGGUGGGGUAAUCGCCUACCAAGGCAUCGCAGGGUAGCCGGCCUGAGAGGGUGUACGGCCACAUUGGGACUAAGAUACGGCCCAGACGCCUACGGGAGGCAGCAGUGGGGAAUAUUGCACAAUGGGCGGAAGACUGAUGCAGCGACGCCGCGUGGGGGAUGAAGGCCUUCGGGUUGUAAACUCCUUUCGACAGGGACGCGGUACCUGUAUAAGAAGCACCGGCUAACUACGUGCCAGCAGCCGCGGUAAUUC
rnacentral:rRNA from 1 species